rnacentral:rRNA from 1 species
AUUGAACGCUGGCGGCAGGCCUAACACAUGCAAGUCGAACGGUAACAGGAAACAGCUUGCUGUUUCGCUGCCGAGUGGCGGACGGGUGAGUCAUGUCUGGGAAACUGCCUGAUGGAGGGGGAUAACUACUGGAAACGGUAGCUAAUACCGCAUAACGUCGCAAGACCAAAGAGGGGGACCCUCGGGCCUCUUGCCAUCGGAUGUGCCCAGAUGGGAUUAGCUUGUUGGUGGGGUAACGGCUCACCAAGGCGACGAUCCCUAGCUGGUCUGAAAGGAUGACCAGCCACACUGGAACUGAGACACGGUCCAGACUCCUACGGGAGGCAGCAGUGGGGAAUAUUGCACAAUGGGCGCAAGCCUGAUGCAGCCAUGCCGCGUGUAUGAAGAAGGCCUUCGGGUUGUAAAGUACUUUCAGCGGGGAGGAAGGGAGUAAAGUUAAUACCUUUGCUCAUUGACGUUACCCGCAGAAGAAGCACCGGCUAACUCCGUG